UACAGAGGGGGCAAGCGUUGUUCGGAAUUACUGGGCGUAAAGGGCGCGUAGGCGGCCUGCUAAGUCGAACGUGAAAUCCCCGGGCUUAACCCGGGAACUGCGUCCGAUACUGGCUGGCUUGAAUCCGGGAGAGGGAUGCGGAAUUCCAGGUGUAGCGGUGAAAUGCGUAGAGAUCAGGCGGAACACCCGUGGCGAAGGCGGCCAGCUGGGCCGUCCCUGACGCUGAGGCGCGAAGGCGUGGGGAGCGAACGGG
rnacentral:rRNA from 1 species